AUGCACGCUGGCGGCGUGCCUAAUACAUGCCAGUCGAGCGAACAGACGAGGAGCUUGCUCCUCUGACGUUAGCGGCGGACGGGCGAGUAACACGUGGAUAACCUACCUAUAAGACUGGGAUAACUUCGGGAAACCGGAGCUAAUACCGGAUAAUAUAUUGAACCGCAUGGUUCAAUAGUGAAAGACGGUUUUGCUGUCACUUAUAGAUGGAUCCGCGCCGCAUUAGCUAGUUGGUAAGGUAACGGCUUACCAAGGCAACGAUGCGUAGCCGACCUGAGAGGGUGAUCGGCCACACUGGAACUGAGACACGGUCCAGACUCCUACGGGAGGCAACAGUAGGGAAUCUUCCGCAAUGGGCGAAAGCCUGACGGAGCAACGCCGCGUGAGUGAUGAAGGUCUUCGGAUCGUAAAACUCUGUUAUUAGGGAAGAACAAAUGUGUAAGUAACUAUGCACGUCUUGACGGUACCUAAUCAGAAAGCCACGGCUAACUACGUG
rnacentral:rRNA from 1 species